rnacentral:rRNA from 1 species
AUUGAACGCUGGCGGCAGGCUUAACACAUGCAAGUCGAGCGCGCGGCGGACGGGUGUGAAAUGUCUGGGAAACUGCCUGAUGGAGGGGGAUAACUCCUGGAAACGGUAGCUAAUACCGCAUACCAUCAGAUGUGCCCAGAUGGGAUUCGCUAGUAGGUGGGGUAAUGGCUCACCUAGGCGACGAGCCCUAGCUGGUCUGAGAGGAUGACCAGCCACACUGGAACUGAGACACGGUCCAGACUCCUACGGGAGGCAGCAGUGGGGAAUAUUGCACAAUGGGCGAAAGCCUGAUGCAGCCAUGCCGCGUGUGUGAAGAAGGCCUUCGGGUUGUAAAGCACUGUCAGCGGGGAGGCGUUACUCACAGAAGAAGCACCGGCUAACUCCGUGCCAGCCGCCGCGGUAAUUC